rnacentral:rRNA from 1 species
GCUGGCGGCAGGCCUAACACAUGCAAGUCGAGCGGUAGAGAGAAGCUUGCUUCUCUUGAGAGCGGCGGACGGGUGAGUAAAGCCUAGGAAUCUGCCUGGUAGUGGGGGAUAACGUUCGGAAACGGACGCUAAUACCGCAUACGUCCUACGGGAGAAAGCAGGGGACCUUCGGGCCUUGCGCUAUCAGAUGAGCCUAGGUCGAAUUAGCUAGUUGGUGAGGUAAUGGCUCACCAAGGCGACGAUCCGUAACUGGUCUGAGAGGAUGAUCAGUCACACUGGAACUGAGACACGGUCCAGACUCCUACGGGAGGCAGCAGUGGGGAAUAUUGGACAAUGGGCGAAAGCCUGAUCCAGCCAUGCCGCGUGUGUGAAGAAGGUCUUCGGAUUGUAAAGCACUUUAAGUUGGGAGGAAGGGCAUUAACCUAAUACGUUAGUGUUUUGACGUUACCGACAGAAUAAGCACCGGCUAACUCUGUGCCAGCAGCCGCGGUAAUACAGAGGGUGCAAGCGUUAAUCGGAAUUACUGGGCGUAAAGCGCGCGUAGGUGGUUUGUUAAGUUGGAUGUGAAAUCCCCGGGCUCAACCUGGGAACUGCAUUCAAAACUGACUGACUAGAGUAUGGUAGAGGGUGGUGGAAUUUCCUGUGUAGCGGUGAAAUGCGUAGAUAUAGGAAGGAACACCAGUGGCGAAGGCGACCACCUGGACUAAUACUGACACUGAGGUGCGAAAGCGUGGGGAGCAAACAGGAUUAGAUACCCUGGUAGUCCACGCCGUAAACGAUGUCAACUAGCCGUUGGGAGCCUUGAGCUCUUAGUGGC